rnacentral:lncRNA from 1 species
UUAUUAUUAUUAUUAUUAUUUUUUUUUUUUUUUUCUUCCGCCAAAUUUUGUUCUUGCGAUAAAUGUUUGUUUCGCAAUAUGUCGCUUAGAUAUUUCUCAUAUUGUAUCGUAUAGUUUAUGCGCUUUUAAAUUUCACCCUGCUAAGACGAACCAAUUUUCUCUGUAAGAGUUAUCUCCCUAUUCACUGUUUAUCAUGUGUGUGCAUCUCCUUCGUAACAAAAAAAGAUAGCGACAAAAUUCUUUUUACAAAUUGUUCGUUACAUCCUCAGAAAAUUUUUGGCUAAUUUGGAUCGAAGCGAUUCGAUGAAAUUUUAUAGGAGUUAUCUAUCUUUACGGAAUAAAUUUGUCGGUAUGUUUUUUUAACUC